rnacentral:rRNA from 1 species
AGCGAACGCUGGCGGCAGGCUUAACACAUGCAAGUCGAACGGGCACCUUCGGGUGUCAGUGGCAGACGGGUGAGUAACACGUGGGAACGUACCCUUUGGUUCGGAACAACUCUGGGAAACUGGAGCUAAUACCGGAUACGCCCUGAUGGGGAAAGGUUUAUCCGCCGAAGGAUCGGCCCGCGUCUGAUUAGCUAGUUGGUGGGGUAACGGCCCGACCAAGGCGACGAUCAGUAGCUGGUCUGAGAGGAUGAUCAGCCACACUGGGACUGAGACACGGCCCAGACUCCUACGGGAGGCAGCAGUGGGGAAGUAUUGGACAAUGGGCGGCAAGCCUGAUCCAGCCAUGCCGCGUGAGUGAUGAAGGCCUUAGGGUUGU